GAUGAACGCUGGCGGCGUGCCUAAUACAUGCAAGUCGAGCGAAUGGAUUAAGAGCUUGCUCUUAUGAAGUUAGCGGCGGACGGGUGAGUAACACGUGGGUAACCUGCCCAUAAGACUGGGAUAACUCCGGGAAACCGGGGCUAAUACCGGAUAACAUUUUGAACCGCAUGGUUCGAAAUUGAAAGGCGGCUUCGGCUGUCACUUAUGGAUGGACCCGCGUCGCAUUAGCUAGUUGGUGAGGUAACGGCUCACCAAGGCAACGAUGCGUAGCCGACCUGGGAGGGUGAUCGGCCACACUGGGACUGAGACACGGCCCAGACUCCUACGGGAGGCAGCAGUAGGGAAUCUUCCGCAAUGGACGAAAGUCUGACGGAGCAACGCCGCGUGAGUGAUGAAGGCUUUCGGGUCGUAAAACUCUGUUGUUAGGGAAGAACAAGUGCUAGUUGAAUAAGCUGGCACCUUGACGGUACCUAACCAGAAAGCCACGGCUAACUACGUGCCAGCCGCCGCCGUAA
rnacentral:rRNA from 1 species